UCCGCGACGGCAUGUCGCGCGAGAUCGAGUUCCA
rnacentral:tRNA from 1 species